GGACUGUAACUCAGUGGUAAAGUGCUUGCCUCGAAUGUGUGAGGCACUGGGUUCAAUCCUCAGCACCA
rnacentral:tRNA from 1 species